ACUUAAAUAGCUUAUAUUAGAGUUUGAUAUUGAAGAUAUCAAGGAAGUUUUAUACUUUUAAGUA
rnacentral:tRNA from 1 species